rnacentral:rRNA from 1 species
ACGCACGCUGGCGGCGUGCUUCACACCUGCACGUCGAACGGAAAGGCCCUGCUUUUGUGGGGUGCUCGAGUGGCGAACGGGUGAGUAACACGUGAGUAACCUGCCCUUGACUUUGGGAUAACUUCAGGAAACUGGGGCUAAUACCGGAUAGGAGCUCCUGCUGCAUGGUGGGGGUUGGAAAGUUUCGGCGGUUGGGGAUGGACUCGCGGCUUAUCAGCUUGUUGGUGGGGUAGUGGCUUACCAAGGCUUUGACGGGUAGCCGGCCUGAGAGGGUGACCGGCCACAUUGGGACUGAGAUACGGCCCAGACUCCUACGGGAGGCAGCAGUGGGGAAUAUUGCACAAUGGGCGGAAGCCUGAUGCAGCAACGCCGCGUGCGGGAUGACGGCCUUCGGGUUGUAAACCGCUUUCGCCUGUGACGAAGCGUGAGUGACGGUAAUGGGUAAAGAAGCACCGGCUAACUACGUG